ensembl:lncRNA
UGCCAUUUGCUGUGCUGUGCUAAGUCACUUCAGUCCUGUCCGACUCUGGUGACCCCAUGGACUCCUGGUGGACUAUAAUCCAUGGGGAUCGAAGAAGAGUUGGACAUGACUCAGCAACUAAACAACAAUAACUUCCCUUUUCCCGGACUUGACCUGAAUUUAUGAAGCCUCUCUGUCAAUGCAGCGUUUCUAGGUAAAUAGGAGCUGUGCUCUUCUCCUGGCAAGGAAGGAACUUGGACCAGAUCAGGAAACUCCAAAGCCUGUGCUCUUUCCAACUAACUCGUAGCUAGUUUUUGUCAUUGAACUAAAAUUAUGAGGGACGCUUAUAUACUAGAGGAGAUGGUAAAGACAACUUUUAAAUCUCUUCCAAUUUGUCCAUAGCAGACUGAGAAAUCCAUCCUUUUCCUCAAAUGACUUCUACCUGUGUUGUCUGCCUACUCCUCUUUUAAGUCUGCCUUUGACCAGCCCUCCCUUUUCCCAACCCCAGCCUCAGUUGAGUCAGUGCUAGGAACCGGGAGCAUCCACCAUCCAUCACCACGUCCUCCAUCCUGGCUCCAGCCCUGGAUUGAACUGGAGCCAGAUUCAGAGCUGGGCUGCCUCCAAGCAGCCUGAGAGAAUGCAUCCUGUUCCCAGGGGCAGCCUUCAGUCGCCAGUUCUUCCCCGGCUGGUCGGAGCCAGGCAAGGGCAUGUAAUCCUUUAGGCCACUUGGCAAACGUCUGUUUGUUCUCUAGGAUGGUCAGAACAGAAACAGGUAUACCUGGACAGUUUAGGAAUAAGAGGGCCCCUAGGGGGCAGGUCCUGAAGCCCAGGGAGCCUUGAUCCGGAGCACGUGGUUGUCACUGAGUCCCGUUACCUGGUUGAGCAUGUCAGUUGGAGUAGAUGCCUGCUCAGCCAUCACCAGUGCCCCCUCCCUGCCACCCCAGCACCUUUCAGUCCAGUCACUGCUGCCUUUCUCUACCCUACCAUUUCUCAGAAAUGUGUACCAUCAUCUUCUUCCCGUUGUCAGGAAUACUUGUCCCUUUUAGUUCCUCCUCGCCAAAUCCUCUCCACCAUUCAUUCAUUCUUUUCUUUUCUCUUCCAGUUUUAUGGAGAUGUAAUUGACAUACAGUGUAAGGCUAAGGUAUUCCACAUAAUAAUUUGACUUAUACACAUUAUGAAAUGAUCACCACAUUAAGUUUAGUGAACAUCCAUCAUCUCAUAUAGAUACAAAAGAAAAAAAAAUUUUUUUUCCUUGUGAUGAGAGCUCUUAGGAUUUGUUCUCUUUAACAACCUUCACAUGUAGCACUCAGUAGUGUUAAUUGUAUUUAUCGUACUGUACUUUGUAUCCCAAGUACUUAUAGCUGGAAGUUUGUACCUCUGGACCACCUUCAUGUAAGUCCCCCUACUCCUUGCCUCUGGUAACCACAGAUCUGUUCUCUUUAUCUAUGAGUUGGUUGGUUUGUUUGAUUUUGAAGUAUAACUGACCUACAGUCUUAGUUCUGUGUAUACAACA